rnacentral:rRNA from 1 species
UAGCACAGGUGCUGCAUGGCCGUCGUCAGCUCGUGCCGUGAGGUGUUGGGUUAAGUCCCGCAACGAGCGCAACCCCCGCCGUUAGUUGCCAGCGGUUCGGCCGGGCACUCUAACGGGACUGCCCGCGAAAGCGGGAGGAAGGAGGGGACGACGUCUGGUCAGCAUGGCCCUUACGGCCUGGGCGACACACGUGCUACAAUGCCCACUACAAAGCGAGGCCACCCGGCAAUGGGGAGCUAAUCGCAAAAAGGUGGGCCCAGUUCGGAUUGGGGUCUGCAACCCGACCCCAUGAAGCCGGAAUCGCUAGUAAUCGCGGAUCAGCCAUGCCGCGGUGAAUACGUUCCCGGGUCUU